rnacentral:lncRNA from 1 species
AAAACAGAAAUUAAAAGGAGUUGUGGCAUAGAGCUCAGUGGUAGAAUAGUUGCUUAAAAUUUGCAAAACUUCAUGAUAGGAGCAGUUUCUAGCAUAAUAAAAUUAGUCGUAUAGAUAAAUAAGUAGAUGUAUAAAAACAAGUGAAUAGAGUCUAAAGUCAGCUUGAUAAGAGUUACGUUGGUGCUACAUAGAGAAUAAAAAGCACUUGAAGCCUGAGGCUCCCUAAGACGACCCAGUCCCUGAAAAAAAAAUCUAGGUCACUUUAGGUGGCAAGAACAUACAAGUUUGAAAGCACUGAGUCUCAGAAUGUUAUGAUUUAUAAAAGAUAUAGAUAAAACAAAAAUGCGUUACAAAUGGAGGUUUAAGCUCUGAUCCUAGAGUCGAUCCAUCACAUAACAUUCAAUACAUACAUCAUGUGUUACAUAGCAAUGCACUUACACAUAUGAUUUAUUUCAGAGACACAGUUUUAAACUAUCUGAAGGGAUUAUGCUGACUGUAAUCUUGACAGUUUCUGUGUCAAAUGCAGCAUUUUGAUCAUUCAAAUGGACAUUCAAAAUGAUCAAUUAUAGCUUUAAGUCAUUGACGUCAACAACUAAUCAUAACCAGACAUCUAUGCUCUCUUUUCAAGACUAAAUUUUGUGACACAUCCACUCACAUAGAAGCAUCGUCCACCUACACUACACACUCACACAGAAGUCUUAUAUUUUGUGAAAUUUCAUUUUUAAUUACUUCUACAAGCUAGCAAGGGUAGAACUGGCUGAUGUCAUAUUUGACAGAGGAAUACAUUUGAUCAGCUCCUCUCUCAUUUGCAGCCACUAACAGGACACGUUGCUAGACAAGAAACUGAUAGGCGAUGCUGAUAGUUUUAGUCUGUCCAUUUGCUAUUUAAGUUCAGUCUUAUUUGUUUUUUAAGCAACAGUUCAGAAUGCCCAAGAAUAACAGCAAACUAACUAUGACAAUGUAGGCAAACUGCAUUUCUAUUUUCAGUCUUGUGUUUUGCAACAAGGCAGUUAGUUAAUUUAGUUAGUACAGCCUUUCUUUUUAAUGUUGAUAUUUGCCCAAGACGUACAUUAGGUUGUCAUAAGUCUUGUGUUGAGUACUUAAAUGUUACAUGUUUUAUACACUGGAAAACUAAAGUUAACUUCAGCUUAUCAGUACCUAUUUUAAGUUUCAUGUAUAUGUUAGUGGCUAUAUUUGGGAUGAAAGUUAGAUACUACUUUAUUCUACAGAACCAUAUGUAUAAGACAACGUUUUGCUUUGUAGCUUAGGUUAGUGCCUAAUUCAUGUUCUUCCCACUUCAGUAACCUCAUACUGAAAUGACAGGCCUGUUUCACCAGAUAGAAUCUACAAAGUUGUGUUUGUUUUUACAGAUGGCCAUGGAGUAUAUUUCAAGUUGACCUCUAACUCACAACUCCCCCGCACCUCCCCCCUCAAAGAGAACCCUUUCUUCUG